rnacentral:rRNA from 1 species
AUUGAACGCUGGCGGCAGGCCUAACACAUGCAAGUCGAACGAGUGGCGGACGGGUGAGUAAUGUAUGGGAAACUGCCUGAUGGAGGGGGAUAACUACUGGAAAGGGUAGCUACUACCGCAUACCCUCGGAUGUGCCCAGAUGGGCUUAGCUAGUAGGUGGGGUAAAGGCUCACCUAGGCGACGAUCCCUAGCUGGUCUGAGAGGAGGACCAGCCACACUGGAACUGAGCAACGGUCCAGGCUCCUACGGGAGGCAGCAGUGGGGAAUAUUGCACAAUGGGCGCAAGCCUGAUGCAGCCAUGCCGCGUGUAUGAAGAAGGCCUUCGGGUUGUAAAGUACUUUCAGCGGGGAGGCAUUACCCGCAGAAGAAGCACCGGCUAACUCCGUGCCAGCAGCCGCGGUAAUAC